GAGGCCAGGGAAAUUCUCCUACGAAAUUUUCAUAUCAUCCAAAAGAGAUACCCACAAGAAUUCCCCCACAGAUUUGAAUCCAAUCUUGAGGAUAGUUCAGAUGACAACCGCAGCUCCAGUCUGGGACGCUCUGCCCCCUCAGAUGAUAUGUCAGUGGCCUCUGACUACCAGGAGGAAGGUGCUU